AUUGAACGCGGGCGGCAUGCCUAACACAUGCAAGUCGAACGGCAGCACAAUAAAGAUUUCGGUCUUUAUGGGUGGCGAGUGGCGGACGGGUGAGUAACGCGUAGGAAUCUGUCCUGGAGAGUGGGAUAACCCGAGGAAACUCGGGCUAAUACUGCAUGACAUUGAGAGAUCAAAAGCAGGGGACCGAAAGGCCUUGCGCUCUGGGGUGAGCCUACGUCGGAUUAGCUAGUUGGUGGGGUAAAGGCCUACCAAGGCGACGAUCCGUAGCUGGUCUGAGAGGAUGACCAGCCACACUGGGACUGAGACACGGCCCAGACUCCUACGGGAGGCAGCAGUGGGGAAUCUUGGACAAUGGGGGAAACCCUGAUCCAGCGAUGCCGCGUGUGUGAAGAAGGCCUUCGGGUUGUAAAGCACUUUAGGUGGGGAAGAAAGGUAGCGAGUGAAUAACUUUCUGCUGUGACGGUACCCACAGAAUAAGCACCGGCUAACUCUGUGCCAGCAGCCGCCGUAA
rnacentral:rRNA from 1 species